rnacentral:tRNA from 1 species
UCCUUGGUGGCUAAGUGGUAAAGAAUCUGCCUGCAAUGCAGGAGACAUGGGUUCGAUCCCUGGAUUAGGAA